rnacentral:rRNA from 1 species
UACGUAGGGUGCGAGCGUUAAUCGGCAUUACUGGGCGUAAAGCGUGCGCAGGCGGUUUUGUAAGUCAGAUGUGAAAUCCCCGAGCUCAACUUGGGAACUGCGUUUGAAACUACAAGACUAGAAUAUGUCAGAGGGGGGUAGAAUUCCACGUGUAGCAGUGAAAUGCGUAGAGAUGUGGAGGAAUACCAAUGGCGAAGGCGGCCAUCUGGGACAACACUGACGCUGAGGCACGAAAGCGUGGGGAGCAAACAGG